GUGUGCCCAGAAGGGGUUGGUAGACCUCUGUUUCUUUGGUCUUUCAGAUAAUCAGAGAAAACUGAUGCCAGCUGAACAGCAUUCAACAUACCAUGCAUUUACUGGCGCAA